rnacentral:lncRNA from 10 species
AAUUUGUUGUGGCCUCAUGAAACCUGGUCUAUUUCUUUCCUUAUUUUUUUUUUAAAGAGGCUUGAGACUGUAAUUCGGUUAACUAUUUCCCAGAGCCCCGGUUUUGUGGCUACAGCACAGCACGAGGCAGAGGAACGGAGACAGGUCCUCGGAAGCCUCUUUCCAGAAAAUCUAAUUUCAUCAUUGAGAAAUCUUCUGUCUUAAACAGCCUCCACCACCGCCAUAAAUUUACAUAUUCUAUAUGCCGCCGGAACGGAGUGGGCCCUAUUUGCAUAAUGCUGCUGGAGGGGCUCACGCUCCUCUUGAACCUGAAUGUAGCAGGAGCGAGGAAGCAAUUAUUAAGCUGUAGACGUUGGCAGGGAGAGAGCCCUCAGAUGGAUUUCGACUCCAAACCUCAUUCGCCAGGGCUGCUCAUUACCGAAGGCCUGGAUCCCAGGCUGAAGGUGGAUCCCAGGGCUGGGAAAAAUCAGUGUGAAUUGCUUUCUCCAGGUUAUGUCUGCAGCCAGGCCGAGGCCAGAUAUGGGGGGUCUUUGAGCAUCCUGGAUGAUUCAUUGCCUUGCUCAGCAAUUUAUUCAACAAUCACAGGACACUGGACACAGAGAUGAACAAAACAAAUGGACUUCCUGCCCUCACAAGGAUUACGGCUCUAGAGCAGGAAGACAAACCUUCAUCAAACAACAUGUAAAUACAGUCAUGCGUCAUUUAACAACAGGGAUACGUUUUGAGAAAUGUGUCAUUAGGCGAUUUCAUCAUCGUGCGAACAUCAUGGGGUACUUACACAAACCUAGAUGUUGCAAGACAAGUUAUAAAGCUCAUGUCACAAACAGGUCCUGGAGACUCUGGGUCCUCUGAGAUCAAAUCUUGAAGUGCAAUUGGCAUUUCCAGGAGUGGAAUCCAGGACUCACACCCAGGACAAGCAAAGACACAGUGGCAGUGAGAUCAUUACAUAUACUCUCCUGAAGCACUCCCCUACCAUCCCCCUACAACACAGUAUUUUGGCAACUAUUGCUAGAAAAAUGGGAACUACGAUGUAUUAAGUACCUACCAUGUGUUACCUCCUAUAUGAGCUUUAUCUCAUUUAAUCUUGGCAGUGGUCUUAUUUUACACACAAUGAAACUGAGGCUCAGAGAGGUGAAGUCACUAAGUCAGGUAAUGGCAGAUCUGGCAUGCACACCUAAGUCUAUGUAUCACCUGAGCCCAAGCUCAUUGCUUCUUCCUGACCAUGCUUCUUCCCUUUCAGCCCUUCCACUCCCAAGGCUCCCCACUCCAUCCUCAUGAUAAGCCAAAGUUGAGUACUCUGGACACCAGAAUAAUAAGUGGGAAAGAGAGGGACGGGUCUGAUGAGUUACCAUGAAAUGAGCACCGGACUGUGGGUCAAGAGGCCAACCCCAGCUUUGCUGCUGACAUUCUGUGUUGUCUUGAACAAGUCACACCCUCUCUUAAGGUCUCCAUUUCUUCAUCCAUAAGUGAAAUAAAUCUAUAAAAAUAUCCACCUGUCUUGUAUCAUGGACUUUAAUGAGAUAAUGUCUAGAAAAAAGAGUUCUAUGGCACAAAUAAAAUAAGUGAAUAGUAACU